rnacentral:rRNA from 1 species
UACGAAGGGGGCUAGCGUUGCUCGGAAUUACUGGGCGUAAAGCGCACGUAGGCGGCUUGUUAAGUCGGGGGUGAAAUCCUGGAGCUCAACUCCAGAACUGCCUUCGAUACUGGAAGACUUGAGUCCGGGAGAGGUGAGUGGAACUGCGAGUGUAGAGGUGAAAUUCGUAGAUAUUCGCAAGAACACCAGUGGCGAAGGCGGCUCACUGGCCCGGUACUGACGCUGAGGUGCGAAAGCGUGGGGAGCAAACAGG